CCCCGCGGUUCUCGUCGCUCAUGGUGGGCGGCGGGACGCGGGGCUGCUGUGCUGCGCGCUACCCCGCGCGCCCACUGGUGCCCGGCCCCGCGCCGGCCAGAAAGGAAAGUUGCUGCCUCCGGGAAGUCUGAGGAGGUAGCUAUGAGCAAAGGACAAAUAAGUCAAUGGCUUCACACCUUCUGGCAGAAGAACAAAGGACAAGGAACAUUAAAGAGCAGACUUCACAAUCCCUAGUAAACAAUAAACAAAAGAAACAAGCGGAAGACAAAGGAAACGCACAUCCAGCAAUGAAUGGGAAAAUCAAACAUGAUUGAGCCUUUUCACAAUGUACUACAGGCAGCAAGGAAUGAAUGCAUUUCCUCCUCCUUACGUCUAUACCCUCCUCUAAUGUAAAAAAUGAUAAAAUAAUCUGUGCUGCACAGUGAAGACAACUCAGAAAUCAGUACUUCGAUGCAUAACACCAUGUAAAGGCAAGUCCCUUUUUUACUUUUAUGUAAUGAUAAAACACAAUUUAACAUUUUCAUAUGACAAGUU